AAAUUCCCCCAAAAAAUAUAUUAUUGUUUCCACAAGCUGAAAUUUGAAUUCCAAAUCCAAAAAGUAGAUUUGGAAUUUGAAACCCCUUUUAGAUCUUAAACUCUUCGGAAAAUUAAAAAAAAAAGAUAGCAAAAACUCCAAAAAUACUACUCCGUUCAAGUUUUCUCAAGAUUAAAUGGAGUUCCAGCUUUAGAUCACAUUUUCAAGUUCAAAGAAAGUCCAAAAACAGUUGGAGUGCUUCCAGAUUUCAUUAGUUCAAGUGCAGAAGGAUUCUGG
rnacentral:lncRNA from 1 species